UACGGGGGGAGCAAGCGUUGUUCGGAUUUACUGGGCGUAAAGGGCGCGUAGGCGGUUAGCACAAGUCAGUUGUGAAAUCUCCGGGCUUAACUCGGAAAGGUCAACUGAUACUGUGCGACUAGAGUGCGGAAGGGGCAACUGGAAUUCUCGGUGUAGCGGUGAAAUGCGUAGAUAUCGAGAGGAACACCUGCGGCGAAGGCGGGUUGCUGGGCCGACACUGACGCUGAGCGCGAAAGCCAGGGGAGCGAACGGG
rnacentral:rRNA from 1 species